GAAUUCUGACUCCUCUAACGAAUAGCGGACUUUUCUGACCAGCCAGGAGUUUAUCGGAUAGUGUGGUGUUGUGAUCCCCAACUAUUUUUACUGCAAGAAUUUUCUUAAAAAAAAUUGUGCGCAAGGGGCCUUUUGUUGAAGAGCAGGACAUGUUCGUAGCUUGAAUGGAGACGGAAAUGCUGCUGAAGCCUGGAUAAUAGAACACUAAGUGGAUUGAAGGAGAGAGAGCGAGAGGAGGCGGUCAGGGAGUGGACACGAGGGAUUACGGAUUAAUCCGGGACAGAGCCAGUCCCAGCACUGGCCCUUCUUUUGAGAGGCAGACAGAGAGCUGUGGAGAUUAUUGCGCUCGGUUUGUCGGCAUUUAAGAGCUUUAGCGUUGUAUCAGACUUCUGUCUGCUUCUUGGAAGGAAAAAACGGACGGUAAGGGUGACUGCAUGAGCUGAAGCACAACGCCGGGAUGCGGAAGGUCAUCCGUUGAAGAAGAGGAGUAAGGGAAUACUAGGGCGGAGCAGGACCAUGGACUCCUCUGGGCCUGAUCUGGAGGGUUGGGGAGGCCACAGACAGGACCUGCAUGUCAUCAGUGACUGAAGGAAAGGUUGCAGCAGCUAAGGAUUGUACCUGGCUUGUCACCUGACCACGGAUUCCACGUACAGAAAGGGAUCACAGAAAUUCCAUCUCUGUCUUCCAUCCAAUUCCCUUUCAGAAACAGGACAUGGUCAGAAGGAUGGCGAAGUACUGGACAUAGUCCAAACACAUGCGAAAAAGGCAUUUACAAGCCAAUAAAAUCCAAUUAGCAGUUCUUUAGUUUUGAGGACGAAGAUGCUUGGGAAAAGGCGUGUCUUGAAAGAAGAAAAAAUCCACCUCCAAAGUUAAAUCACUUCAGCUCAUUUUUCACAUGCCUAAU
rnacentral:lncRNA from 1 species